GCGGAGGUCGCCAAGCAUGGUCAAAGGUGUAAGACUGAGGCUCUUAUCCCGCAGGGGUUCGUGGGUUCAAAUCCCACCCUCCGCA
rnacentral:tRNA from 1 species